GUCUUACUUAAAAAUAGCUCAGUCGGUAGAGCACAAGACUCUUAAUCUUAGGGUUGAGGGUUUGAGCCCCACGUUGGGCA
rnacentral:tRNA from 1 species